rnacentral:tRNA from 1 species
UAUUUUAAUAGCUUAUAAAGAGCAUAGUGCUGAAGACACUAAGGAGAAUAAUCUUAAAAUAC